GGCUUAACCGGAGUAGUGCAUUGGAAACUGGGGGACUUGAGUGCAGAAGAGGGGGGAGGAACUCCAUGUGUAGCGGUGAAAUGCGUAGAUAUAUGGAAGAACACCAGUGGCGAAAGCGGCUCUCUGGUCUGUAACUGACGCUGAGGUUCGAAAGCGUGGGUAGCG
rnacentral:rRNA from 1 species